CGGCUAAGAGUGCUCGGAGCGUGGAUUAACUCCAGUCUCCUAUCAGGUGAGCUUAGAUGUGGGGACUUGGGCCGGAGGGGAUUCAGAGUGGCCACGGUGAUUGUCUUUGGACUUUUAAAUAAGCGUUGGUUUUCUUUAAAUUUCCUUUAAAUAUUAUUUAUUUUUGGGUUGUAAUAAGGCCAUUUUAACUUUCCUUUUA